GAUGAACGCUGGCGGCGUGCCUAAUACAUGCAAGUCGAGCGAACGGACGAGAAGCUUGCUUCUCUGAUGUUAGCGGCGGACGGGUGAGUAACACGUGGAUAACCUACCUAUAAGACUGGGAUAACUUCGGGAAACCGGAGCUAAUACCGGAUAAUAUUUUGAACCGCAUGGUUCAAAAGUGAAAGACGGUCUUGCUGUCACUUAUAGAUGGAUCCGCGCUGCAUUAGCUAGUUGGUAAGGUAACGGCUUACCAAGGCAACGAUGCAUAGCCGACCUGAGAGGGUGAUCGGCCACACUGGAACUGAGACACGGUCCAGACUCCUACGGGAGGCAGCAGUAGGGAAUCUUCCGCAAUGGGCGAAAGCCUGACGGAGCAACGCCGCGUGAGUGAUGAAGGUCUUCGGAUCGUAAAACUCUGUUAUUAGGGAAGAACAUAUGUGUAAGUAACUGUGCACAUCUUGACGGUACCUAAUCAGAAAGCCGCGGCUAACUACGUG
rnacentral:rRNA from 1 species